UUAAGUGUAAUACACGCACGAAUGAGAGAGAUCUUGCAGGGACUUGGAUAUUAGGGCUGGAUCAGGUGUAAACUCGUAAUUGGAUGCUAACUUUUUAUAAUUUAUAAAUUAUAAACUUGAUGGGUUAUAUUCAUGGGUUAUAUUUUUAAUUUAUUAUAAUUUAUAAUAUUUAUAUUAUUCUAUUUUAACGAGUUAAGUUACAUAAAAUAAUACAAAUAUUACACCUGAGGCUUUUUUUUUUGACACCUCUGCUAGAUAUUGCUAUCAUUAAUGAACAAAGCACGUGCAGAGAGGUUUGUCUAUACUGCGUGUAUACAGAAACUGUAAGGAAGAGAUGAUGUGAUCGACGGCUUAGAUUCUUUCUGAUGGGUUGAUGAUGAUAGCAAAAGAAGGGUGGAGAUUGACUUUGAUGCAGGAAAAGUACAGACAUGAUUCAAAAUGAUAAGAGGCAGAGCC
rnacentral:lncRNA from 1 species